UUGAAAGGGAAACGAUUGAAGUCAGUCGUACCAGCGGGAAAUCAACCUUUCGAGUGGGGGUUUUGGAGUUUUGAAGAGUUUCAAAACCUUUGAGAUUUCAAAAAUUUCGCUCUUUUGGUGUACUUUCUCGUGGGUAGGUUAACAUCGAUUUUGAUCAUCAUAAAAAGAUUGGAGGAAUGUAGCUUCGAUCUUGUAUUGAAGUGUUAUAGCCUUUGGUAAAUGUGAUGAUUAGGAUCGAGGAUUGCAACGAAUACCCUUUUGGGCUAUCCGCCUGAUCUCUGAUACGUGGCCUUGGUAUCGAAAGCUUGCUUAUGGUAUUGAGGUAUUACGGUCAAAAGGUUAGAACGGAUUACAUUCGUUAAGGAUGUUGACGUA
rnacentral:rRNA from 1 species